AGCCUUAAGUUCUAUUUUACCUGAAGCCUGCCCAGUGCUUAGUGUUAACGGCCGCAGUACCUUGACUGUGCUAAGGUAGCAUAAUCAGUUGGCUUUUAAAUGGAGUCGGGAAUGAAUGGACUAAUGGAGUGAAGCUGUCUCCCUUAUAUUAUAUCUAAUUUACUUAUCAAGUGAAAAUGCUUGAGUCAAGAAAAAAGACGAGAAGACCCUAGGAGUUUUUAUUAAAAGCUACACUGUAGCUUAAGUUUUUGUUGGGGCGACAUUGGAGUAUUAAAACCUCCAUUCUUAAAUAAGCCGACUAUGUAUGAGAAAUUAAACUACCCUAGGGAUAACAGCGUAAUUCUUUUGAGCUUGCGACCUCGAUGUUGGACUAGGAAUUUGGUGGGCUAGCCGCCUACUUAUAUUGUUCUGUUCAACUAUUUUUCC
rnacentral:rRNA from 1 species